UAGGGAAUCUUCCACAAUGGACGCAAGUCUGAUGGAGCAACGCCGCGUGAGUGAAGAAGGUUUUCGGACCGUAAAGCUCUGUUGUUGGUGAAGAAGGAUAGAGGUAGUAACUGGCCUUUAUUUGACGGUAAUCAACCAGAAAGUCACGGCUAACUACAUGCCAGCAGCCGCGGUAAUACGUAGGUGGCAAGCGUUGUCCGGAUUUAUUGGGCGUAAAGCGAGCGCAGGCGGAAGAAUAAGUCUGAUGUGAAAGCCCUCGGCUUAACCGAGGAAAUUGCAUCGGAAACUGUUUUUCUUGAGUGCAGAAGAGGAGAGUAGAACUCCAUGUGUAGCGGUGGAAUGCGUAGAUAUAUGGAAGAAUACCAGUGGCGAAGGCGGCUCUCUGGUCUGCAACUGACGCUGAGGCUCGAAAGCAUGGGUAGCGAACAGGAUUAGAUACCCUGGUAGUCCAUGCCGUAAAACGAUGAGUGCUAAGUGUUGGGAGGCUUCCGCCUCUCAGUGCUGCAGCUAACGCAUUAAGCACUCCGCCUGGGGGAGUACGACCGCAAGGU
rnacentral:rRNA from 1 species